UCGAGGAUCUUCGGCAAUGGGCGCAAGCCUGACCGAGCGACGCCGCGUGCGCGAAGAAGGCCUUCGGGUUGUAAAGCGCUGUCGAGGGGGAGGAAGCCGCAAGGUUGACCUAUCCCUGGAGGAAGCACGGGCUAAGUUCGUGCCAGCAGCCGCGGUAAGACGAACCGUGCAAACGUUGUUCGGAAUCACUGGGCUUAAAGGGCGCGUAGGCGGACAACCAAGUCAGGGGUGAAAUCUUUCGGCUUAACCGGAAAACAGCUUUUGAUACUGGUUGUCUUGAGGGAGGUAGGGGCAUGUGGAACUUCCGGUGGAGCGGUGAAAUGCGUUGAUAUCGGAAGGAACGCCGGUGGCGAAAGCGACGUGCUGGACCUCUUCUGACGCUGAGGCGCGAAAGCUAGGGGAGCGAACGGGAUUAGAUACCCCGGUAGUCC
rnacentral:rRNA from 1 species